AGUCCAUUGACCAUGUUCCCAGCACCUUUCGUCCUCCUUUCGAAGCACUGAUGUAUGCAUGCAUUGUAUCUGCACAAAGCAGUCUAGUCAGUCCUUGGCUUUAUGGAAACAUUCUGGGCUACGGUGCUCUGGAAUGACCAAGUGGAAGCAUGAAGCAGUGCUUCAGGCAUGCCCUGGAAAACUUGUGUUGAAGGGAAGAGGCUUUUGCAGGUUGCUAGUAUGUUUCCAGCAGGUAUAACUAUGUAGCCCAGGCUAGUCUGGAACUUUCUACAUAGCCCAUACUGCUCUGGACUUGAGAACCUCCUGCCUGAGCUGCCUGAGUGCUGGAAUUACAGCCUGCUCUACCGUACCUGGCUGAAA